AGCAUAUCACGUUCAAACUAUCGGUUCUCGUACAAUCACCGAAGUUAAGCAACGUCGAGCCUGGUCAGUACUAGAUCGGUGACCGCUUCGGAAUACCAGGUGCUGUAA
rnacentral:rRNA from 1 species